rnacentral:sRNA from 1 species
GCACAAUGUAAAAGCCAACGACGCGGUUGAAAUAUAAUUCCUCCCGUGGUGGAAGAAACAGUGCAUACCCUAACACCGUCUCAACAAGGCCGCUCGCUCAGACUUUUACACAGGCCAAGUUCCUGUCACUCGCAUAUCUAAGCGGGCCAGGGGAACACUCCUCCGACGGCAUUGUUGCUCAUCGUAUAGUACAUACAGUACAUGGCGGCGCGCAUGUCAGGGUACUUCCGCCCAUGGUUCCGAUCAUGUAAUUACGUGCAUGAAGAAAUCCUGCAGACCUCGACGACCGAGUGAACACCGCUAGGACGACUGGCGUCGGGUCAAUUGGGCGCCCCACACUGCGAUCAUCAACCAACCAAGCGCUGUUUGAUCGCGUAAAGCGCGAGAUAAAAGGAAUCCUCUUUCUUUUCGCCGGGUUUGACAACCUGAUAUUUAGUUCUAUUGGCUAGUUUCGAUGUCUAAGAGGACGGAGGCAUGUAGCCCCCCGAACGGUUCCGCUUGGAGCCUAAAGCUUGGCUGUCAAUCGAGUCGCUGGUAUUGAGAUUUCCAUUUAUAUUUCCUCCGUUGUCAUAUAUGUCCUCUUCUUUCGACAUUUUAUUCGGGAUUUUAUGCAGCCGUGAUACAGCGUCCCAUAUUCCUCGGACGAUCGGCCAAUUCGAAAUAAAAAACAGUGAGCAGCCCCGAUAUAUAAGGUAUUGGUUCAGGCGCAUUGACCUUUGAAGAUUGGACAUUAUAUCUAUAAAUUAUUAAUUAGACAUUAGGCGGUUGGGGUAUACACCUCCCCCAAAAAACAUUUGAAUAAAAAUAAAGAAUCAAAACAAAAAAUAACAUUUUCUCCCUCCGAUAUCGUUAUUCAUUGAUUCUCCCCGCUUACCCCUUGCUGCGCCCUCCAUUCUGCGUUGAGAGUAUACCUUAGUUGAAAAAGAAAACCCCAACACUAUCCAUCAUCAAUUACCUGUUACCCACCCCGUUCUCGCGAGUUUGCGCACUGGUCGUAUCGAUUUCUUCUGAUCCCAGGGGCUUCAGGUCUAGCUAGUAUGACGCAGCUCAAUCAAUGGCAUAGGCAUCAGCCUUGUCGACUUUCUGAAACUGCCGCUCCUUGUGACAUGCCAUGCACACGAAGAAGAAGAGCGAGACUAAGUGAAAGUAGUAGUAGCCUGUCAUGCGCAGCCCACCAUAAAAUAUAAGAUAACUAGUCAGCUUGUAUAAAGCAGCACCAAGGAGUCAAAAAGCAAAAACAAGAAGCCUAUAAA